GGCUUGUUGGUAUAGGGGUAUGAUUCUCGCUUUGGGUGCGAGAGGUCCUGGGUUGAAAUCCCGGAUGAGCCC
rnacentral:tRNA from 1 species